GAGCCGACCUUGAAAUACCACCCUUUAAUGUUUGAUGUUCUAACGUGGACCCGUGAUCCGGGUUGCGGACAGUGUCUGGUGGGUAGUUUGACUGGGGCGGUCUCCUCCUAAAGAGUAACGGAGGAGCACGAAGGUUGGCUAAUCCUGGUCGGACAUCAGGAGGUUAGUGCAAUGGCAUAAGCCAGCUUGACUGCGAGCGUGACGGCGCGAGCAGGUGCGAAAGCAGGUCCAUAGUGAUCCGGUGGUUCUGAAUGGAAGGGCCAUCGCUCAACGGAUCAAAAGGUACUCCGGGGAUAACAGGCUGAUACCGCCCAAGAGUUCAUAUCGACGGCGGUGUUUGGCACCUCGAUGUCGGCUCAUCACAUCCUGGGGCUGAAGUAGGUCCCAAGGGUAUGGCUGUUCGCCAUUUAAAGUGGUACGCGAGCUGGGUUUAGAACGUCGUGAGACAGUUCGGUCCCUAUCUGCCGUGGGCGCUGGAGAACUGAGGGGGGGCUGCUCCUAGUACGAGAGGACCGGAGUGGACGCAUCACUGGUGUUCGGGUUGUCAUGCCAAUGGCACUGCCCGGUAGCUAAAUGCGGAAGAGAUAAGUGCUGAAAGCAUCUAAGCACGAAACUUGCCCCGAGAUGAGUUCUCCCUGAGACUUUAGGUCUCCUGAAGGAACGUUGAAGACGACGACGUUGAUAGGCCGGGUGUGUAAGCGCAGCGAUGCGUUGAGCUAACCGGUACUAAUGAACCGUGAGGCUUAACCUUACAACGCCGAAG
rnacentral:rRNA from 1 species